rnacentral:rRNA from 1 species
AAUUGACGGGACCGCACAAGCGGUGGAUGAUGUGGAUUAAUUCGAUGCAACGCGAAAACCUUACCUACCCUUGACAUGUCUGGAACCUUGCUGAGAGGCGAGGGUGCCUUCGGGAGCCAGAACACAGGUGCUGCAUGGCUGUCGUCAGCUCGUGUCGUGAGAUGUUGGGUUAAGUCCCGCAACGAGCGCAACCCUUGUCAUUAGUUGCCAUCAUUUAGUUGGGCACUUUAAAGAGACUGCCGGUGUCAAACCGGAGGAAGGUGGGGAUGACGUCAAGUCCUCAUGGCCUUUAUGACCAGGGCUACACACGUACUACAAUGGCCGGUACAAAGGGCAGCCACUUAGCGAUAAGGAGCCAAUCCCGUAAAGCCGGUCUCAGUCCGGAUUGGAGUCUGCAACUCGACUCCAUGAAGUUGGAAUCGCUAGUAAUCGCAGAUCAGCACGCUGCGGUGAAUACGUUCCCGGGCCUU